rnacentral:rRNA from 1 species
UACGUAGGGUGCGAGCGUUAAUCGGAAUUACUGGGCGUCAAGCGUGCGCAGGCGGUUUUGUAAGAUAGAUGUGAAAUCCCCGGGCUUAACCUGGGUACUGCAUUUGUGACUGCAAGACUAGAGUGCGGCAGAGGGGGGUAGAAUUCCACGUGUAGCAGUGAAAUGCGUAGAUAUGUGGAGGAAUACCAAUGGCGAAGGCAGCCCCCUGGGAUAAUAUUGACGCUCAUGCACGAAAGCGUGGGGAGCAAACAGG